rnacentral:rRNA from 1 species
CCUACGGGAGGCAGCAGUGAGGAAUAUUGGUCAAUGGGCGCGAGCCUGAACCAGCCAAGUCGCGUGAAGGAUGACUGCCCUACGGGUUGUAAACUUCUUUUAUAAAGGAAUAAAGUGCGGCACGUGUGCAUUUUUGUAUGUACUUUAUGAAUAAGGAUCGGCUAACUCCGUGCCAGCAGCCGCGGUAAUACGGAGGAUCCGAGCGUUAUCCGGAUUUAUUGGGUUUAAAGGGAGCGUAGAUGGGUGGUUAAGUCAGUUGUGAAAGUUUGCGGCUCAACCGUAAAAUUGCAAUUGAUACUGGUAGUCUUGAGGACAGGUGAGGUAGGCGGAAUUCGUGGUGGAGCGGGUAAAUGCU